AUCCAGGUGACGAAUCCCAAAUAGGGCGAAACGUGUGUCUGGAU
rnacentral:hammerhead_ribozyme from 1 species